rnacentral:tRNA from 1 species
ACCUGGGAGGCUCAGUCAGUUAAGCAUCUGACUUCAGCUCAGGUCAUGAUCUCACGGUUUGUGGGUUCGAGCCCCACAUCAGGCU